rnacentral:rRNA from 1 species
GUGGGGAAUAUUGGACAAUGGGCGAAAGCCUGAUCCAGCCAUGCCGCGUGUGUGAAGAAGGUCUUCGGAUUGUAAAGCACUUUAAGUUGGGAGGAAGGGCAGUAAGUUAAUACCUUGCUGUUUUGACGUUACCGACAGAAUAAGCACCGGCUAACUUCGCGCCAGCAGCCGCGGUAAUACGAAGGAUGCAAGCGUUAAUCGGAAUUACUGGGCGUAAAGCGCGCGUAGGUGGUUUUGUAAGUUGGAGGUGAAAUCCCCGGGCUCCACCUGUGAACUGCCUCCAAAACUGCAUGACUAGAGUACGGUAGAGGGUAGUGGAAUUUCCUGUGUAGCGGUGAAAUGCGUAGAUAUAGGAAGGAACACCAGUGGCGAAGGCGACUACCUGGACUGAUACUGACACUGAGGUGCGAAAGCGUGGGGAGCAAACAGGAUUAGAAACCCUUGUAGUCC